UACGUAGGGCGCGAGCGUUGUCCGGAAUUAUUGGGCGUAAAGAGCUCGUAGGCGGCCUGUUGCGUCCGCUGUGAAAUCCCGGGGCUCAACCCUGGGCGUGCAGUGGAUACGGGCAGGCUGGAGGCAGGCAGGGGGAGAACGGAAUUCCUGGUGUAGCGGUGAAAUGCGCAGAUAUCAGGAGGAACACCGGUGGCGAAGGCGGUUCUCUGGGCAUGUCCUGACGCUGAGGAGCGAAAGUGUGGGGAGCGAACAGG
rnacentral:rRNA from 1 species